GUAGGCCUGCCGCCGGAACCGCCGGGCGCAGCGCGGGCACUCGAACAGCCCCUCCUCGGAGCCCGCCUCCGAAGCGCCGCCGGGGCUCGGCGUGUCCCGCUCCGCCGCCGCCGCCGCCUCCUUGGGGGGCUCCGCCGCCUCGGGGCCGCUCUUGGCGGGGGGCCGCGGUUUGUGCCAACGGCGGUGCGAGGCGAGGUUGGCGGGGCAGGAGAACACCUUGUCGCACUCGGGGCAGCGGUACUCCACGCGGACGAUGCGCGAGCAGCGGUGCUGCGCCAGCGCGAAGGGGUCCCCGUACUCCUCCUUGCAGAGCUGGCAGAUGAACUCGCCCAGCGGCCGCGCGCAGCCCCCGCGCCGUGCCGGCGCCUCCACCGGGCCCUCCUUGAUGCGCAGCCCCAGCACCGGGGACGUGGUCACCUCGUCCUCGAAGGUCAGCUUGCGGAUCGCCUUCGCCUUCUUGCCGGCCGCGGCCUUCUGCCGGCCGGGCUCGGCGGGACGCUUGGCGGCCGGAGCGGCGGCGCCGCCGCCGCCGCUGGGGUUGGGGGGCGGCCGGGCGGCCCAGAGCUUGAGCUCGGCGGGGGCGAGCAGCAGCGGGUCCAUGCUGCUGGGCACGGCGGGCGCGGGGAACGACUCGGCCGAGACGGGCGAGCCCAGGCUGAAGCCGCGCUCCAGCAGCGCGUCGCGGCUGACGGGCCGCGUGGGGCUGCGCAGCGCCUGCACGGGGCCAUCGGGCGUCCCGAAGGGCACGGGAGGAGGAGGCGGCGGCGGCGGGGGAGGAGGGGGAGGCGGCGGCGGAGCGGCGGGCGGAGGGGCGCGCACCCGGUAGGAUACGGGCGUGGGCCGCCGGCUGCGCUUCACCAGGAAACCGCGGGGCAUCUUCGGGCGGGCGGUCCGCGCCCGGCGGCGGUGAGCGGCGCUCCCUCCCUCCUCCUGCCCGCCGCCGCCGCCGCCUUUAAGAGAGCCGGGGCCAUUGUUCGGCCCGGCGGCGGCGGGCGCGGCCAAUCAGCGGCGGCGGCGGGCGGGGCGGCGGCACCUGAGCCCCGCGGCCGGCACACGCCCGGCCCGCCCCCGGCACGCGUGGCCCUUUGUGUGCGCGGGGCCGCUCCGAGCGCCGGUCGCGCUCUUUCUUUGCCCGCUCGCGGCUCCGAAGGCGCGCGGGGCCGUGCCCGCCGGGCCGCGGGCGUCGCCGAGCGGGAGGCCGGGCCGCCACCUGUUAGCGCCGCGCCCGCUCCCCGCCGCCGGGUGCCCGCCCCGCGCCCCUUUGUCCCUCGGCCCCGCAGGUGGCGGCGCGGCGGGGGGGCGGCGAGCAGCCGGCGGGGACCCCCGUCCCCUCCCCUCCCUUCUCUNCCCCACGCGCGGACCCCCGACCUCCCCCCACCCCGGCCCCGGGUCGGAGCGGACGCGGCCGCCAGGCGGAGCUCAGCGCCCCGCUCCACGCUCACCUGCCGGGCGGCCGCGGGCGUACAUGGGCAGCUGGGCGCCGUGCCGCAGCAGGUAGCGCACGGCCGGGCCCGCGAGCAGCGGCGGGACGGGGCUGUCCUCGGUCUGCCGCUCCGGGGGCACCUGCGGGGAAAGCACGUGUCGGAGGAAAUCCCCCAGCCCCUGCGCCCGCCCCCCCCAACUUCCCCAGGUAACUCCCGCUCUGCUUUGGGCUCGGAGCGGCCCCGCUGCGAGUGGGGAAUCGGAGCGCCGAGGAGAAGCGGCGGUGGCGGAGUAGCGCUGUGCGGGGCAGCGCCGUACGCCGCCGGCUGA
ensembl:lncRNA